rnacentral:sRNA from 1 species
GGGCAGGAGGUUCGACUCGAGCGAAGCGAGAGAACGUUGCGUCAGCAACGGCCCGCAGGGCGAGUCACGCAGUGGCGAGUCAUCCUCUAUCACCGACCA